rnacentral:rRNA from 1 species
UACGUAGGGUGCGAGCGUUGUCCGGAAUUAUUGGGCGUAAAGAGCUCGUAGGCGGCCUGUCGCGUCGGUUGUGAAAGCCCGGGGCUUAACCCCGGGUCUGCAGUCGAUACGGGCAGGCUAGAGUUCGGUAGGGGAGAUCGGAAUUCCUGGUGUAGCGGUGAAAUGCGCAGAUAUCAGGAGGAACACCGGUGGCGAAGGCGGUUCUCUGGGCAUGAUCUGACGCUGAGGAGCGAAAGUGUGGGGAGCGAACAGG